rnacentral:rRNA from 1 species
AAUAUUGUCCGGAGCCGUGAAGGGUUCCGGGGAAAGGGAGGCCUCUGAUACAAGCUUUCGCCUUAAGAUGAGCCCAUGGCCCAUCAGCUAGUUGGUAGGGUAAAGGCCUACCAAGGCUACGACGGGUCGCUGGUCUGAGAGGACGACCAGCCACACUGGCACUGAGAUACGGGCCAGACUCCUACGGGAGGCAGCAGUGAGGAAUAUUGCGCAAUGGGGGAAACCCUGACGCAGCAACGCCGCGUGUGGGAAGAAGGCCUUCGGGUCGUAAACCACUUUUGCACGGGACGAAAAAGGGAUAAUCGAACAAAUAU